ensembl:piRNA 21ur-1880 ncRNA
UGGUUCUUCAGCCUGUGGAGU